GACGAACGCUGGCGGCGUGCUUAACACAUGCAAGUCGAACGGAAAGGCCCUGCUUUUGUGGGGUGCUCGAGUGGCGAACGGGUGAGUAACACGUGAGUAACCUGCCCUUGACUUUGGGAUAACUUCAGGAAACUGGGGCUAAUACCGGAUAGGAGCUCCUGCUGCAUGGUGGGGGUUGGAAAGUUUCGGCGGUUGGGGAUGGACUCGCGGCUUAUCAGCUUGUUGGUGGGGUAGUGGCUUACCAAGGCUUUGACGGGUAGCCGGCCUGAGAGGGUGACCGGGGACAUUGGGACUGAGAUACGGCCCAGACUGCUACGGGAGGGAGGAGUGGGGAAGAGUGCACAAUGGGCGGAAGGCUGAUGCAGCAACGCCGGGUGCGGGAUGAGGGGGGUCGGGUUGGAAAGCGCUUUGGCGUGUGACGAAGCGUGAGGGACGGUAAUGGGUAAAGAAGCACCGGCUAACUACGUG
rnacentral:rRNA from 1 species